rnacentral:rRNA from 1 species
GAUGAACGCUGGCGGCGUGCCUAAUACAUGCAAGUCGAGCGAACGGACGAGAAGCUUGCUUCUCUGAUGUUAGCGGCGGACGGGUGAGUAACACGUGGAUAACCUACCUAUAAGACUGGGAUAACUUCGGGAAACCGGAGCUAAUACCGGAUGAUAUUUUGAACCGCAUGGUUCAAAAGUGAAAGACGGUCUUGCUGUCACUUAUAGAUGUAUCCGCGCUGCAUUAGCUAGUUGGUAAGGUAACGGCUUACCAAGGCAACGAUGCAUAGCCGACCUGAGAGGGUGAUCGGCCACACUGGAACUGAGACACGGUCAAGACUCCUACGGGAGGCAGCAGUAGGGAAUCUUCCGCAAUGGGCGAAAGCCUGACGGAGCAACGCCGCGUGAGUGAUGAAGGUCUUCGGAUCGUAAAACUCUGUUAUUAGGGAAGAACAUAUGUGUAAGUAACUGUGCACAUCUUGACGGUACCUAAUCAGAAAGCCACGGCUAACUACGUG